AUUGAACGCUGGCGGCAUGCCUUACACAUGCAAGUCGAACGGUAACAGGUCUUCGGAUGCUGACGAGUGGCGAACGGGUGAGUAAUACAUCGGAACGUGCCCGAUCGUGGGGGAUAACGGGGCGAAAGCUUUGCUAAUACCGCAUACGAUCUACGGAUGAAAGCAGGGGACCGCAAGGCCUUGCGCGGACGGAGCGGCCGAUGGCAGAUUAGGUAGUUGGUGGGAUAAAAGCUUACCAAGCCGACGAUCUGUAGCUGGUCUGAGAGGACGACCAGCCACACUGGGACUGAGACACGGCCCAGACUCCUACGGGAGGCAGCAGUGGGGAAUUUUGGACAAUGGGCGAAAGCCUGAUCCAGCCAUGCCGCGUGCAGGAUGAAGGCCUUCGGGUUGUAAACUGCUUUUGUACGGAACGAAAAGACUCUUUCUAAUAAAGAGGGUCCAUGACGGUACCGUAAGAAUAAGCACCGGCUAACUACGUG
rnacentral:rRNA from 1 species